UUGUUCUAAAUACUUCCUUUUUCACAAUAUAAGUCAUUCUAGCAUUUUCCACAUUCAUAUUGAUGUUAAUGAAUCUAGACAUUUAUAUUUAUUUAGAUUCAUUAACAUCAAUAUAAAUGUUGGAAAUGUUAGAAUGACUUACAUUGUGAAACGGAGGGAGUAGUUGCAA
rnacentral:miRNA from 1 species